GAUUAACGCUAGCGGCAGGCCUAAUACAUGCAAGUCGAGGGGCAGCAGGGUGUAGCAAUACAUCGCUGGCGACCGGCGCACGGGUGCGUAACACGUAUGCAACCUACCUUUAACUGGGGAAUAGCCCUCCGAAAGGAGGGUUAACACCGCAUAACAUCACGAGACGGCAUCGCCUUGUGAUCAAACCUCCGGGGGUUAAAGAUGGGCAUGCGUCCGAUUAGCUAGUUGGCGGGGUAACGGCCCACCAAGGCGACGAUCGGUAGGGGUCUGAGAGGAUGAUCCCCCACACUGGUACUGAGACACGGACCAGACUCCUACGGGAGGCAGCAGUAAGGAAUAUUGGACAAUGGUCGCAAGACUGAUCCAGCCAUGCCGCGUGCAGGAUGAACGAUCUAUGAUCUGUAAACUGCUUUUGUUCGGGAAUAAACCCCUUCACGUGUGGAGGGCUGAAUGUACCGAAAGAAUAAGGGUCGGCUAACUUCGUGCCAGCAGC
rnacentral:rRNA from 1 species